rnacentral:lncRNA from 1 species
UCAACAGGACAAUCCAUUCGAGUAGAAAACGCAUAUUUUUCUAUCAUCAGGAGGAAGCAAAAUGAGAAUAUUCAAAUUAACACAAAGUCAUUCGUUCAGUUUGGACUUUGGAAGGCAGCCACCUCAUAUGUAAUGCUACCACGAAAUAUAUGGUUGUGCUUAAACCACUUGAAAGUCAUUCAUUCAGUUUGGACUUUGGAAGGCAGCCACCUCAUAUGUAAUGCUACCACGAAAUAUAAGGUUGUGCUUAAACAACUGCAACUCGAUUUCAUUAGUACGACCCUCCUC